AGGGGACCUUCGGGCCUUUCGCUAACAGAUGAGCCUGCGUUGGAUUAGCUAGUUGGUGGGGUAAGGGCCCACCAAGGCGACGAUCCAUAGCUGGUCUGAGAGGACGAUCAGCCACACUGGGACUGAGGCACGGCCCAGACUCCUACGGGAGGCAGCAGUGGGGAAUAUUGGACAAUGGGCGCAAGCCUGAUCCAGCAAUACCGCGUGUGUGAAGAAGGCCCUAGGGUUGUAAAGCACUUUCAAUUGGGAGGAAAACCCACCGGCCAAUACCCGGUGGCUUGACAUUACCUUUAGAAGAAGCACCGGCUAACUCCGUGCCAGCAGCCGCGGUAAUACGGAGGGUGCGAGCGUUAAUCGGAAUUACUGGGCGUAAAGCGUGCGUAGGCGGCCCGUUAAGUCAGAUGUGAAAGCCCCGGGCUCAACCUGGGAACUGCAUUUGAAACUGGCGGGCUAGAGUUUGGUAGAGGGGAGCGGAAUUUCAGGUGUAGCGGUGAAAUGCGUAGAUAUCUGAAGGAACACCAGUGGCGAA
rnacentral:rRNA from 1 species